rnacentral:rRNA from 1 species
GAUGAACGCUGGCGGCGUGCCUAAUACAUGCAAGUCGAACGACACUUCUUUAUCACCUUGUUCUUGCACUCACCGAUUAACGGUUGAGUGGCGAAUGGAUCAGUAACUCCUUUUCCACCUGCCCUAACGAAGGGGAUCACACUUUGAAACAGGUUCUAAUCCCCCAUAACCAUAGUUACCUCAUGGUAACUAUGUCAAAUGUAUCUAUCCUACCCCUUUUGGCUGGUCGCGCGGCGCAUUAGCUAGUUGGUAGGGUAAAGGCUUACCAAGGCAAUGAUGCGUAGCCGAACUGAGAGGAUGAUCAGCCACAUUGGGACUGAGACACGGCCCAAACUCCUACGGGAGGCAGCAGUAGGGAAUAUUGCACAAUGGGCGAAAGCCUGAUGGAGCAAUGCCGCGUGGGUGAAGAAGGUCUUCGGAUCGUAAAGCCCUGUUGUUAGAGAAGAAAGUGAGUGAGAGUAACUGUUGACGUUUUGACGGUAUCUAAACAGAAAGCCACGGCUAACUACGUG